GUGGGGAAUUUUGGACAAUGGGCGCAAGCCUGAUCCAGCAAUGCCGCGUGCAGGAAGAAGGCCUUCGGGUUGUAAACUGCUUUUGUACGGAACGAAACGGUCCGGGUUAAUACCCUGGGCUAAUGACGGUACCGUAAGAAUAAGCACCGGCUAACUACGUGCCAGCAGCCGCGGUAAUACGUAGGGUGCAAGCGUUAAUCGGAAUUACUGGGCGUAAAGCGUGCGCAGGCGGUGCUGUAAGACAGGCGUGAAAUCCCCGGGCUCAACCUGGGAAUUGCGCUUGUGACUGCAGUGCUGGAGUGCGGCAGAGGGGGAUGGAAUUCCGCGUGUAGCAGUGAAAUGCGUAGAUAUGCGGAGGAACACCGAUGGCGAAGGCAAUCCCCUGGGCCUGCACUGACGCUCAUGCACGAAAGCGUGGGGAGCAAACAGGAUUAGAAACCCGUGUAGUCC
rnacentral:rRNA from 1 species